AUUUAAUUAUUAGGAAUGUCUUUAAAAAUAUCAAACAUUCUCUAGUUUACAAUGGCUCAGAAGUAUAGUCGGAGAUCGAAGAAUUACUUCUAAGAAACAAACAAACUGAAGUUUCUGGUUAUUCUCCGGUUGUUUUGUAGUGGUUCCGGCGGUGGCGUGUCUUCAACGUCGCCGUCGGAGCAGUCUGUCUGGUGUUACUCAUUUGUUGUUGUCUCUUUUGUUUACUCAACCCUUCUCUUCCUUUUGUGUGUCUCUCGGUGGUUUUUGAUGGUCUGUUGUGCUAUUGUUUACUGUUGUUAAGACUUUUGUUGAUGGAUCUGUGAUUUUUUCUCGGAUUUAUUUCCAAGUCCUAUGUAGAUCUGGGUGUUUUGGUGUUGCAGGUUUGUUUAGUUUUCAGAUAUGCUUGUCUAGGCUCAGAUCCGGCCGGAGAGAAUGUCCACGACGGUAAUGAGUUGUGUGGUUCUGUCUGCUCAUGCUUUGGCGUCUCAGCAAGAAGAACUCUUAAGCUCUGUUUCCGUUGUCCUCCGUCAUCAGUGUGUACCUUCGGCCGAAGGUUUAAAUCCAAUUAAUCUCUUAUGGAUUUUUGAGCUUGUCUUAGUUGGUGCUUGAUUCAGCAACGGUGUAGCAUUUCGCGGUGAUGUGUCGUGAGCAGGUGCGGGUUCUGGUCCUCGAGAAGUAGGUGAUUUCAUACCACCUAUUCGUCUCUUAGGUUUGUGGAGGCCUUCUCCCGCCUUGUCAUUUAGUGUUUAUCCUGGUCUUCCUUUGGUCUCUGUUCUCCUCGUGGCUUCGUCUGGUUGAGGCAAUAUAAAGAGGUUGAGGCGUGAAGGCUUACGGUUUAAGGUGGUUCAGAUGAGGUUUAUGCUCUUCAUGAAGAAGUCAUCCGCGUUGCUUGCUCUCUUGUGUCGUUCGUUGCAAGAAAACUGGCUAGUCUUAGCGCAUUAAGUCAUUGUUCUUUUAUCUUUAACUGGUUGUUUCUGGGUUUCUUUAAAGGAGAGUAGGUGUUCAGUUUAGUUUUGGAUGUUGGUUAGUAGACCGUGUGUUUGGGUUCUAGAUUCCCGAUUUUGGGCUUAGCUUCCGGGGAUAUCUUUGUAUUCCGCCGGCUUUAGUAUCUCAACCUUGUAUCGUUCUCAUGUUAUCGAUGAAAUUCAGAUGGCAAAAAAAAGAAGAAGUAUAGUCGGAGAUGGUGCUUAUCUUCCUAUUUCUCAUGUCCGUUCAACAACUCUUGCUACCACAGAAGACAUGGUGGUAAUAAUUUUGGAGGAGAAGCUGAUGACAAAUGCUUAAACCAGUUAGUGGAAACGAUGAUCUCUGGAGUGAAGAAAGAAGAGCUUAUGCCAAACCACAAACGAAAUGGCUAUGGGUUGUAUGCUCAUCAAACCGGUUUAAACCAGUAACUAUAAUUAAUGCUUUUCGUCAAUUGUAAUUACGCAUACCUACCAUAAGACAAUCUUUUCAUGCUAA